rnacentral:rRNA from 1 species
AACGAACGCUGGCGGCAUGCCUAACACAUGCAAGUCGAACGAGACCUUCGGGUCUAGUGGCGCACGGGUGCGUAACGCGGGGGAACCUGCCCUUAGGUUCGGAAUCACUCCCCGAAAGGGGUGCUAAUACCGGUUAAUGUCUUCGGACCAAAGAUUUAUCGCCUUUGGAUGGGCCCGCGUUGGAUUAGCUAGUUGGUAGGGUAAACGCCUACCAAGGCGACGAUCCAUAGCUGGUCUGAUAGGAUGACCAGCCACGCUGGGACUGAGACACGGCCCAGACUCCUACGGGGGGCAGCAGUAGGGAGUAUUGGGCAAUGAGCGAAAGCCUGGUCCAGCAGUGCCGCGGGAGUGAUGAAGGCCUUAGGGUUGUAAAGCUCUUUUACCCGGGAUGAUAAUGACAGUAACGGGAGAAGAAGCUCCGGCUAACUCCGUG